AUCAUUGCAAAGUGGGUCCCACUGAGAAGUGGAACAUGGAGCCCAAUGCGUGUGGAUUCAGCUGCCUAUCCUUAAUGGGCUUUUUGACCUGAAACCCUUUUAUGGACUUUUUGCUGACCAUGGAUUAAAAAUGAACUGGAUUUACUGCUUACUAAGGGAAGAACAUGGGAAGAAAAAAGCUAUGUUAUAUAAUUUGGAAGGGAAGAAGUGAUUUUAAACUAUCUCUAUAAUUGCUGUGAAGAAGAUUGGAAGCUGCUUCCUUAGCUCUCUGUUUUCUUUUUCUAUUUUGUGUCUUUUGUUGCUUUAAACUUUUUUCUUUUUUUUUCUAACUUUUUAUUAUUAUUUUUAUCUUUCUAACUUGGUAAAAAAAGAUUUAAUACAAUCACUGGGAUUCCCUCCCUCUUCUUUCUCUCCCCCCUUGCAAAUAAAAUAAUUGUUUCCUAUAGAUGUCACGUAACCACAUCCUUUGUUACACCCAAGUCAGAACGCAAUGAGAAAUGGUGGUUGUUCAAUUUCACAUUUUUGAUGCAAGUUGUAGUCAAAGCAAGAACAUUCAGGCAUGGAUUCCUGGUUAUUUUUCUUCUGUUUUAAUUUCAAUUUCUGGAUUUCCAUUUCCCAAGUGACACAGACACCGGUGUAUCAGGACCUCAAGGAAGGAGACAGGGUCACUAUCACUUGUAAGAACAAUGCUGCCUACAGUUAUUUCCAUUGGUACAGGCAAGUGCCCAGAAUGCCACUCUCCUACCUCUUGUCCAUAACUUCCAGUAAGAACAUCACUGAAAAAGGAUACACAGCAGAGUACCUGGAUAACGGUCAGAGAAGUUGCCUCCACCUUCCCAGCUCUUUGCUUCAAGACUCAGGAACCUAUUUUUGUGCUAGUUGUCCUGCCUAUUGUGGAGAAAAAAGAAUGGGAAAUCUGGGAGGCAAGAUCGUUGCCUUACUGCUGGCCAUCUCCACAGGUGUCCAAUGUCAGGACCGAGUGGAUCAGAAGCCUGUAGAAAUCAUCAAAGAAGGAGAUGAUGCCGUCAUCAUCUGUCAGUUCAACUCCAGCACUGUCUAUGGCAUGCAUUGGUACAGGCAAUAUCCAGGAGAAGCCCUUGGAUUUCUCCUAACGGUUACAUCGACUUCAGUGACACAGCAUGUUUCUGGGUAGGCUGACAAAACGGAGCUGGGAGUGUCUUCGUGA